rnacentral:rRNA from 1 species
GAUGAACGCUGGCGGCGUGCCUAAUACAUGCAAGUCGAGCGAACAGACGAGGAGCUUGCUCCUCUGACGUUAGCGGCGGACGGGUGAGUAACACGUGGAUAACCUACCUAUAGACUGGGAUAACUUCGGGAAACCGGAGCUAAUACCGGAUAAUAUAUUGAACCGCAUGGUUCCAUAGUGAAAGACGGUUUUGCUGUCACUUAUAGAUGGAUCCGCGCCGCAUUAGCUAGUUGGUAAGGUAACGGCUUACCAAGGCAACGAUGCGUAGCCGACCUGAGAGGGUGAUCGGCCACACUGGAACUGAGACACGGUCCAGACUCCUACGGGAGGCAGCAGUAGGGAAUCUUCCGCAAUGGGCGAAAGCCUGACGGAGCAACGCCGCGUGAGUGAUGAAGGUCUUCGGAUCGUAAAACUCUGUUAUUAGGGAAGAACAAAUGUGUAAGUAACUAUGCACGUCUUGACGGUACCUAAUCAGAAAGCCACGGCUAACUACGUG